CCUACCUAUGCAACAGAUGGUUGAUUGUGGUUGUUGCUCUGCUGCCAUAGAUGUCUGGGAUUGACCUGUAUGUGUUUGUGCUUCCCAGAAUGAGUUCAAGCCCAAGAACAUCAAGAAGAAGAAGAUGAGUAUUAUCAUGUCUGUGGACGAAAACAGAAGAAAUAGAAUCAUGUUCUAGUUCUCUGGUUCCGUCAUUCAGCCACAAGACAGAAAGUUGCCUGAAGGCUGUGGAUCAUUGUAUUGUUGACCCAGACGGAGUGUACUUCACAAGGAUUGUCUUUUUCUGAGAAAGCUAACCAUGGAUAACUCUCCUGAAGUGAACCAGGAGCAGGGAGACAUACCAAUAAUCCCAUUGGUCCAUGAGCCCAUGUCAGGCUCCUUGAUGACAACAUGCCUAUGGCACCUGAAGCGGAGGGGAUCCAACUGAAGAACGUCACCCCUGCACAGUGGGACAGAAUCCUCCCGAUAGGAAUCAUCCAGAGGGAGGAUCCCAACCAGAACCAAUCAUUCCAACAAUACGUCAUCCCAAUCAAAAACAAUGGAAUGGAACAGAUGGAAUAUCAUGGACCACCUCCACCUCCCAUCAUCCCCAUGGUGGGAUCCUGGGACACUGGAGUGAAUGCUCCACGUUGUGGAGAUUUCUAUGCCAGGAGAAAAGAUAUCCGGAGUAGAUAUGUGGCGGAUCCUGCUUUAAUGACCAUCACCAAGCCAGAACACUUCGAGGCCAACCCUCAGAGCCAGGCUGGCAGUUGGCCGGUGGCUAAACCUCAGCACCCAGCACCCCCAGUACAGAAAACACGAAACAGUGGAGGCUGGCUCAGGUGGUUCUUCGGAGAAAAGGAAGAAGUUCUUCAGAUGACAAGGAUACCAGAUGACAAGCCUAAUUCUAUUGUCUGGGAUCAAAACCUGCACAGAUGGGUUGACGCAAGUCCCAUGCCCAAGACUGAGAACAAGCCUGUUCCACCUCCUCCCCCGAUGGGGAUGUAUCUGGAGAACUCUAGUCUCCCCAAAGGAGUGAAUCCUUACUCCAUGAAAGCAGCAGAUCAAGGAAGCCUAGGGGACAGGUAUCCCAAGCUAUUGUACCAUGGUGGGAUCACUACAACACCUCCAUACCAGGGUCCUGGAUCGCUCCCUGCCCAGCAUGCAACACUCAUGGCACCGAUGACUGUGCCAUUCGAUGUUGACAGGCAGAAACUUGGCCCAGGCACUCUACCCUUUUGAGAAUCGACACUGAACAAUCCUUCUGCAACGAUUUAUUUAAUUAGCUUUAAUAUACAGCAACACUUGGCUGAAGUUUCAGUGAUUUUUAAGCUAUUUAUUUUUGUCUCACAGGUCGUUUUCCAGGAGGGAUCAUUUGAUAUUUCAGCAUUUUAAAAGACAAAAUAAAAUAAGAUUUCGGGCUUUGAAAAGUUAUUAAAAAUCUGUAUGUUCACGUAGCUUUGAUAUGUUUUCUGGCAUCCUUUACAAGCCCAUCGCUUGUGCACAUUUCUCUAUGUUACAUACUUUACAGAUGGGUAUAUUAUUUAUACAUAUGUUUUUCAAAAUAUAUUCAAAAAAGAAUUAAUCUAUUUCAUAAACAUAAUAUCAAAUGUAAAUAAAGUGCAUUUUAAAUUGUACACCAUAUAUUUCAAUAUAUGACUUUACUGCAGGCCUAGCGUUGUGGGUGGGCCUUAGGGAGCCAUGCUCGCCCUACCGCACCUCCUAGCCUGUCCAAAUAAAAUACAUGGUUGAAUGAAACUUUGCAAGACUUAUAUUUUUUUGUUGUUGUUGCUAUAACACUAAUGUAUGAUAUUUGUCCAUUUAAAGUUUUA
ensembl:lncRNA